ensembl:lncRNA
AUGAUUUUUAUUUCCUUCUCUCCUUUGCCUCCAUUAUUCCUUCUUUUUUUUGGAUCUGCGCAAAAUAAACCCACGAAUCUUGAGUGCAUUUGGGUACAGCAUGUUUCCCAGGCGGGUAAAUGUAUGCAUUCUAUGUUCUGUGAACCUCCAUCUGUUCUGUUUGAGUCUGGGCUGAGUUGGCUGUGAAAGAUGGCGAUGGUGAUGGUGUUUCUGACGUCUUGACUAGGGCCGAGUCUUAGCGAGUCGCAAGGGCUCCCUGACGCUAGCUCUCGCGGAUCAGCGAGGUGCUGUUUGUCAGACUGGUGGGCUGGUGAGAGCGGCACACAGACGGCCCUCAUCUGCUGCAGAUACGUCAAAGACAGCCUUGGAAGCUUGUAACCUUGCAUGCGUUUAGACCCUCGAAUGUUGCCAUACUAGCACCUUGUGCUGAAAGGUGACUGUAAGAUUGUGGGUGUAACGUAGAUGUAAAAGGCCCAUUUUGUUGAAAAACACCUUCUAGAUCUUCUACACUCUCAGAUAAUGAGGUAUAAAAGCUGUCACUAGGGCAGUACACUUUUGUUUACUAAUAUGGACCCUUUAGGUACAAAAGUAUACCUUUUGAAAAGGUUCUUCCCCAGUGACAGCUUUUGUACUUUUUUUUUUUUUUUUUUUGAGGCGUGUACAAUGGAUGCACCCUUAAAAAAAACUGUUUAAAAACACAUGUGCCAAUUCUUAGAGAUCUGCUCUUUGUAUUCAUAUUAAUUGUAUAUGGUUUUGAAAAACACGUAUGCCAUUUUUAAGAUAACUACUAAAAAUGUAUUGCAGUGUAACCAUUGAGUAAUAAGUAAUAAUAUAUUUUCUUUACAGCUUGAAAACAUAUGACAGUUUACAUAAAAAGAUUUUUCAAUAUGGAUAUUUUUUGCAAGUAUCAUUAAUUAUUAAUUAAUUAUUAGAUGCACCACUUGACAUUUUACAACCAAAAUAAUAUUUUCUUGUCAUAAAAUCUCCAAUCUUUUUUUGUCAUAAAAAAAUCAGACAAUCUUAUAUGUCGCACCACAUGACUUUGAUU